rnacentral:rRNA from 1 species
UACGAAGGGUGCAAGCGUUACUCGGAAUUACUGGGCGUAAAGCGUGCGUAGGUGGUGGUUUAAGUCUGUUGUGAAAGCCCUGGGCUCAACCUGGGAAUUGCAGUGGAUACUGGGUCACUAGAGUGUGGUAGAGGGUAGCGGAAUUCCCGGUGGAGCGGUGAAAUGCGUAGAUAUCAUUUGGAACGCCAAGGGCGAAAGCAGGCUGCUGGGAUUGUGCCGACGCUGAGACACGAAAGCCAGGGGAGCAAACGGG